GUUCGCACUUUCCGUAGUGUAGCGGUUAUCACGUCUGCUUCACACGCAGAAGGUCCCCGGUUCGAUCCCGGGCGGGAACA